rnacentral:rRNA from 1 species
UACGGAGGUGGUUAGCGUCGGUCGGAAUUACUGGGCGUAAAGGGCGCGUAGGCGGCGUCGUAAGUCAGGCGUGAAAGGCCCGGGCUCAACCCGGGAACUGCGCUUGAUACUGCGGCGCUCGAGUCCGGGAGAGGAUGGCGGAAUUCCCAGUGUAGAGGUGAAAUUCGUAGAUAUUGGGAAGAACACCGGUGGCGAAGGCGGCCAUCUGGACCGGUACUGACGCUAAUGCGCGAAAGCGUGGGGAGCAAACAGG